CCUUUGCUAUCUUUGAAGCACCCCGACGAGACGCGUCGUACCGGGUUACGACAAGACGACGCACC
rnacentral:ncRNA from 1 species